rnacentral:rRNA from 1 species
AACGAACGCUGGCGGCAGGCUUAACACAUGCAAGUCGAACGGCUGUAGCAAUACAGCAGUGGCAGACGGGUGAGUAACACGUGGGAACCUUCCUAGGGGUACGGAACAACUCAGGGAAACUUGAGCUAAUACCGUAUACGUCCGUAAGGAGAAAGAUUCAUCGCCCCUAGACGGGCCCGCGUCGGAUUAGGUAGUUGGUGGGGUAACGGCCUACCAAGCCUGCGAUCCGUAGCUGAUCUGAGAGGAUGAUCAGCCACACUGGGACUGAGACACGGCCCAGACUCCUACGGGAGGCAGCAGUGGGGAAUCUUGGGCAAUGGGCGCAAGCCUGAUCCAGCCAUGCCGCGUGAGUGAAGAAGGCCUUAGGGUUGU